CAGUCAGUUUUUGCUGAUGGAGCAUCAUCAAGAUUCACAUAGCUUUGUCCCAAUUCAUUUUUCUAUUACUUUCUUUUUUUUUUUAAUUAUUUUAUUAUUUUCUUUUUCAUUUUCUUUUCUUCUAUAAUUUUUUUCCUGUUUCGAUUAAUUUUUAAUUAUUACUGAUCUUAUGAGUUUUGGAAAUAAAAAAUAUAUGGGAAUCUUGAUGAUGCUGCAGCGGCAAUGAAUGACUA
rnacentral:miRNA from 1 species